UACGUAGGGUGCAAGCGUUAUCCGGAAUUAUUGGGCGUAAAGAGCUCGUAGGCGGACUGUCACGUCUGCUGUGAAAAGCUAGGGCUUAACCCUGGCCUUGCAGUGGAUACGGGCAGACUAGAGGUAGGUAGGGGAGAAUGGAAUUCCCGGUGUAGCGGUGAAAUGCGCAGAUAUCAGGAGGAACACCGAUGGCGAAGGCAGGUCUCUGGGCAUUAACUGACGCUGAGGAGCGAAAGCAUGGGGAGCGAACAGG
rnacentral:rRNA from 1 species